rnacentral:rRNA from 1 species
CAGUCGCCGCGGUAAUACGUAGGUGGCAAGCGUUGUCCGGAAUUAUUGGGCGUAAAGGGCUCGCAGGCGGUUUCUUAAGCCUGAUGUGAAAGCCCCCGGCUCAACCGGGGAGGGUCAUUGGAAACUGGGAAACUUGAGUGCAGAAGAGGAGAGUGGAAUUCCACGUGUAGCGGUGAAAUGCGUAGAGAUGUGGAGGAACACCAGUGGCGAAGGCGACUCUCCGGUCUGUAACUGACGCUGAGGAGCGAAAGCGUGGGGAGCGAACAGGAUUAGAGACCCCCGUAGUCCCUGUCUCUUAUAC